AACUCUUAGCGGAGGAUCACUCGGCUCGCGCGUCGAUGAAGAACGCAGCUAGCUGCGAGAACUAAUGUGAAUUGCAAAUGUAGGAAAAAAAUAUAUAUAUAAUAUAUAUAUAUAUAUAUAUAUAUAUAUAUGUGUAAGUAUUC
rnacentral:rRNA from 1 species